GCCCAUUGAAUAUUUUUAAAAGGCCGCAGUACCCUGACUGUGCUAAGGUAGCGUAAUCAACUGUCCCCUAAAUAGUGACCUGUAUGAAUGGCUAAACGAAAGAAUGACUUUUUUUAACUUAAAUAAUUAACUUAACCUCUUAGUUAAAAGGCUAAGAUAAUUUAAAAAGACGAGAAGACCCUAAAGAGUUUAACAAACAAAUUUUUUAAGAAUUAUUUUUUUACUCAUAUCUUUUAAUAAAUGUUUGUUUAAUUGGGGUGAUUAAAAAAUAAAUAAAACUUUUCUUUUAACUAACUAAAAUAUUAGAAAUAAAUAAUGAUCCGAUUAUAACGAUUAAAAGAAAAAGUUACCUUAGGGAUAACAGCGUAAUACUUAUUAAGAGUUCACAUUGACAUAAGUGUUUGCGACCUCGAUGUUGGACUAAAAUUACUCUAUAAUGCAGCAGUUAUAUUAGUAGGUCUGUUCGACCUUUAAAUUUUUACACGAUCUGAGUUCAAACCGGCGUGAGCCAGGUUG
rnacentral:rRNA from 1 species